rnacentral:rRNA from 1 species
GACGAACGCUGUGCGGCGUGCUUAACACAUGCAAGUCGAACGGAAAGGCCCUGCUUUUGUGGGGUGCUCGAGUGGCGAACGGGUGAGUAACACGUGAGUAACCUGCCCUUGACUUUGGGAUAACUUCAGGAAACUGGGGCUAAUACCGGAUAGGAGCUCCUGCUGCAUGGUGGGGGUUGGAGAGUUUCGGCGGUUGGGGAUGGACUCGCGGCUUAUCAGCUUGUUGGUGGGGUAGUGGCUCACCAAGGCUUUGACGGGUAGCCGGCCUGAGAGGGUGGCCGGCCACAUUGGGACUGAGAUACGGCCCAGACUCCUACGGGAGGCAGCAGUGGGGAAUAUUGCACAAUGGGCGGAAGCCUGAUGCAGCAACGCCGCGUGCGGGAUGACGGCCUUCGGGUUGUAAACCGCUUUCGCCUGUGACGAAGCGUGAGUGACGGUAAUGGGUAAAGAAGCACCGGCUAACUACGUGCCAGCAGCCGCGGUGAUACGUAGGGUGCGAGCGUUGUCCGGAUUUAUUGGGCGUAAAGGGCUCGUAGGUGGUUGAUCGCGUCGGAAGUGUAAUCUUGGGGCUUAACCCUGAGCGUGCUUUCGAUACGGGUUGACUUGAGGAAGGUAGGGGAGAAUGGAAUUCCUGGUGGAGCGGUGGAAUGCGCAGAUAUCAGGAGGAACACCAGUGGCGAAGGCGGUUCUCUGGGCCUUUCCUGACGCUGAGGAGCGAAAGCGUGGGGAGCGAACAGGCUUAGAUACCCUGGUAGUCCACGCUGUAAACGGUGGGUACUAGGUGUGGGGUCCAUUCCACGGGUUCCGUGCCGUAGCUAACGCUUUAAGUACCCCGCCUGGGGAGUACGGCCGCAAGGCUAAAACUCAAAGGAAUUGACGGGGCCCCGCACAAGCGGCGGAGCAUGCGGAUUAAUUCGAUGCAACGCGUAGAACCUUACCUGGGUUUGACAUGGAUCGGGAGUGCUCAGAGAUGGGUGUGCCUCUUUUGGGGUCGGUUCACAGGUGGUGCAUGGCUGUCGUCAGCUCGUGUCGUGAGAUGUUGGGUUAAGUCCCGCAACGAGCGCAACCCUUGUUCACUGUUGCCAGCACGUUAUGGUGGGGACUCAGUGGAGACCGCCGGGGUCAACUCGGAGGAAGGUGGGGAUGACGUCAAGUCAUCAUGCCCCUUAUGUCCAGGGCUUCACGCAUGCUACAAUGGCUGGUACAGAGAGUGGCGAGCCUGUGAGGGUGAGCGAAUCUCGGAAAGCCGGUCUCAGUUCGGAUUGGGGUCUGCAACUCGACCUCAUGAAGUCGGAGUCGCUAGUAAUCGCAGAUCAGCAACGCUGCGGUGAAUACGUUCCCGGGGCA